rnacentral:rRNA from 1 species
UUAGAAUACUUGAAGAAUAAGCAGAGGGAGGAUCCAACAUUUUUUUAUGCGAUUCAAGUAGAUGAGAAGGAUGGUCAGAUAACUAAAUUUUUUUGGGCAGAUGGCCAGUCCAUUAUGGAUUACGCAUGCUUUGGUGAUGCUGUAUCAUUUGACACCACGUUUGAUACCAAUAAGUUUGAAUUGCCUUUCGCUCCAAUCCUUGGUGCCAAUCAUCACAAGCAGACAGUAAUAUUUGGGGCUGCACUGAUAUUUAAUGAGUCCAUCGAUUCAUUUGUUUGGCUAUUUGAGACAUUUCUCACGGCAAUGUCAGGCAAGCAUCCAAGCACAAUUUUCACCUAUCAAGACAGGGCCAUGGACGGAGCAAUUGCUUAUGUAUUUCCAAAUACAAGUCAUCGUCUUUGCUUGUGGCACAUCUAUCUUAAUGCUGCUAAACAUCUCGGGCAUGUAAUUCAUAAGCAUCCUGAGAAGUUUCUACCGGAUUUUAAGAGAUGUGUCUAUGAAGACAGGUCUGAAUGA